AUUGAACGCUGGCGGCAUGCCUUACACAUGCAAGUCGAACGGCAGCGGGGGAGAAGCUUGCUUUUCCUGCCGGCGAGUGGCGAACGGGUGAGUAAUACAUCGGAACGUGCCCUGUAGUGGGGGAUAACUAGUCGAAAGAUUAGCUAAUACCGCAUACGACCUGAGGGUGAAAGUGGGGGACCGCAAGGCCUCAUGCUAUAGGAGCGGCCGAUGUCUGAUUAGCUAGUUGGUGGGGUAAAGGCCUACCAAGGCGACGAUCAGUAGCUGGUAUGAGAGGACGAGCAGCCACACUGGGACUGAGACACGGCCCAGACUCCUACGGGAGGCAGCAGUGGGGAAUUUUGGACAAUGGGCGAAAGCCUGAUCCAGCAAUGCCGCGUGUGUGAAGAAGGCCUUCGGGUUGUAAAGCACUUUUGUCCGGAAAGAAAUGGCUCUGGUUAAUACCUGGGGUCGAUGACGGUACCGGAAGAAUAAGGACCGGCUAACUACGUGCCAGCCGCCGCGGUAA
rnacentral:rRNA from 1 species